rnacentral:rRNA from 1 species
GGCUUAAGUCGAACGAAGCGCUUUCUUUUGAUUCUUCGGAUGAAGAAGACUGUGACUGAGUGGCGGACGGGUGAGUAACGCGUGGGCAACCUGCCCUGUACAGGGGGAUAACAGUUAGAAAUGACUGCUAAUACCGCAUAAGCGCACGAGGACGCAUGUUCUUGUGUGAAAAACUCCGGUGGUAUAGGAUGGGCCCGCGUCUGAUUAGGUAGUUGGUGGGGUAGCGGCCCACCAAGCCGACGAUCAGUAGCCGACCUGAGAGGGUGACCGGCCACAUUGGGACUGAGACACGGCCCAAACUCCUACGGGAGGCAGCAGUGGGGAAUAUUGCACAAUGGGGGAAACCCUGAUGCAGCGACGCCGCGUGAAGGAAGAAGUAUUUCGGUAUGUAAACUUCUAUCAGCAGGGAAGAAACUGACGGUACCUGACUAAGAAGCACCGGCUAAAUACGUGCCAGCAGCCGCGGUAAUACGUAUGGUGCAAGCGUUAUCCGGAUUUACUGGGUGUAAAGGGAGCGUAGACGGAGAGGCAAGUCUGAAGUGAAAGCCCGGGGCUCAACCCCGGGACUGCUUUGGAAACUGCAGUUCUAGAGUGCCGGAGAGGUAAGCG